AUGACUGACACUGUUUAUCAUAUUAACAGACUAAAAUUACAUUCAUCAUCUUCUUCUUGAUCUUAGGAAUGUAUUUUCAGGAUUCUACAGGACAGGUGACAGUAAUUCAGACUCCCGCAGUGAAACAUGUUCAGAACGGACACACAGUCACUCUGAACUGUAAAAGCAGCAGCUCCACUGGACGUCAGUCAGACGGUGACUGUAAGUCUUGUGUGUCCUGGUUCCUUCAGAAACCUGGAGAAGCUCCUAAACUUUUAGUGCACAGCAUCAGAACGCUUGCUGCCCGUACUCCAUCUAGAUUCAGUGGAAAUGGAGCCGAUUAUGGAAUUGAUUUUACUCUGACCAUCAGUGGAGUCCAGACUGAAGAUACAGGAGAUUAUUACUGUCAGAGUAGACACUAUAUCAACAGUAAAGAUGUGUUCACACAGUGA